ensembl:lncRNA
UUUUUUUUUUUUUUUUUUAACCCUGAGAGUGGUGAAACACUGGCACAGGUUGCCCAGAGAAGUUUAGGAUCCAGCCCUUGAAACAUUCAAGGCCAGGCUGGAUGGGACUCCAUCCAUGAAGGUAUUCCUGCCUAUGCCAGGGGUUGGAAUUAGAUGACCUUCAAAAUUCCCUUCUAACCCAAACCAUUUUACUGUUAGAUGAUUCUUCAUGCCAUAUAGCACUUAUUGGUAGAGAAAAAGGGCCAUGGUUUUUUAACAUUUGUAAUUUCUACUCUGGACAAAAUCUUCCUGCUCCACUGCUUCAGUUCAGCUGAGCAUCUGAGGUUCAUGAAGUGCAGACACUGAAGGUGAACUCUUGAAGACAAAAUCUCACUUAACCAGCUCUUAGCCCUUCCAACUUACUUGACUUUUGUCAGGCCUUUGGUGAGCAGAUUUGACACAAAGGUAUGACCAAAAAAUAGCACUUUCCUAGGGGUACUGAAGUAAGAUCCCCUCAGUGAGGAGCAGAACAGGCAUGCAAAAGCAAGGCAGGAAGUAGGAAUUCCUCAUUUGGUAAUGGCAAUUUCAAUCUGAAGAGGAGGCACACAUGAUACAGUGUGUGUGGACCUCCUCAGAGAGGCAGAAGGGCAGCUAGACAGAGCAAAUAUGGAGCACAGUGAAUUUCACUAAAUUAAGCCACUCUUGAUUUACCCUCUGGAAAAAAAUAGUCAGAGCUGUGCUUUUUCUUCCAACCAUACAAGAGGAGCUAAGCUCCCCACAGACUGCCCCAAAUCUACUCCUAUAUUUGAACAUCUAAUGAAGCUUUUUAACCAGUCAACUGAACUGAUAUUUGAAAUACAGCUGAUGGGAUAGAUGCUUCAUUCUCAUUAAGUGUCUUGGGACAAGACACUUCUUUCACUCAAUUUAUAUAAAUUAAUAAUGGCAAAAGAGAAAAUGCUAAUUUAGCCUGUGAUUAAAAAAUGUAAAAAAAAAAACUCUGACAAGCCUUUUGAUUUUUUUUAAAUGGAGUUGGUAACACUUCCUUCCUUGGUAUGGUUGGUAACAUUUUCACCCUAUGUGCUCUCUUCCAUAGCACCUAGACUACUGAAACACUGAAGCAGUAGGGGCCAUCAGAUGCAGGCAUCUUGCUGCCUAGAUUCUGGGAGCCUCCAGGAGCUCCCACUUUAACAGACAGACAGACAGACUGCAUCUGGAAAAAUACUUCAGUCUAGAAACUGGUGCAGUUAAACAUAAGUUUUGAGACGGACCCAUUUUAAUUUCUGAAGCAGUGCCUACUUCAUUUAAGAAACAAGAAACACCUCUCAUUGCUCAGCAGAUCAAGCUUCAGUUUAAUUUCUCUAAAGAUCAGCAAGUACUGAAUACAUAAACAUCCAAUAUUUCACAUUAAACACCCAGCAUUGAUGUCAUACAAAGGAAAAUAUCUUCUAGUAAGAGUUAAAACAAAAUACUCCCUAUUAAAAAUAUGAGUUUGUUCAAGAUUAAAGGUUUUAUUUAGGGUUUUUUUCCCUUCAUGUCAUUGCACAUUUCUCCCACUUACCUUGUACCAGUUCUGGUCCUUACUAGAUCCCUUCAUAAAUCACCCAGUGAAAACAUAGACAGCUUUCUCAGGAGUGGCUGAGUUGAGGCAACACAAGUGCAGUGGUGGCACCUUGGAAAGAGUGGAAGCAUGUGACCAGGAGGAGGAUUGGGAACUCCAAGGAAAAAAGACUUUCUCCUCACUGCUGCAGUGAACUUUAUACCAGCUCCAUCAUAAUUUGUCAUGCCAGAAGUCAAGUUUCCAUAGAUCAACUUUAGCUCAAUCAAAUUAAUUCUGAAGAUUUUGCUUCAUUUGUUUGUACAUACACUCAAGUUUUCAAAUAAAUGCACAGAGCAAUUUAAGUGAAGAAAUUCAUAGGAGAGAAUUUGCUGUGAGGUUCCAAGACAGAGCGUGCUCUUUGAAAGGCAGCACUCCUUCCCUAUUCACACUUAUCUUAAUACCUAGCUUUAUGUUUAAAGAGGCCACGUGCCAAAUUAAAUGCAAAAUCUAAUCUGUUAAAGCAACUGCAAUUUUCUGCUUUGGUCAGAAUCACAAUUACAACAACAAACAACACAGUCAGUGAUUAAUAACAAGCCUAACCAAGACUCAUGUUAUUACUGCCUAUCUGAUCUACUCACUCAUUCCUGCUCAUGCAGGAUACCACAGGCUGGCAGCAGCCACAGCCUGCACAAAGGUGCUGCAUCCAGGAUGUGUAGCUGUCCAACAGUGCUCAAUGGAAACAUGUGCUGCAGAAAUCUUAUUUUGUGCACUUUUCACAAUGUGUUCAUACAUCAGACCCAAUUCAGCUUCAGCCUGAACUUCUUCAAACCUCAUCUGACUAGGCACAUUCAAGUUAUUUGAUUGUUUUAUCUUUGAAAUGUUAGUUUUUGAAAAAGAAUGUCCUCAAGUCUCCAAAACACUGUUUCCAAACAAUUGUGAAGAUUCAUUCUGUCAGCACAAGGCUAUUCGUUAAACUUAUUUCUAGAGCUUUUGUUGACAUAUGGUCAUCCACUGAAAGCUAAGCACUAAGAUGUUUGUGUAUGUCAGCAAACUAUUUAUGAUACUGUGAUAGCUCUAAAAUAAAGUACUAUUAUAUGCUGAAAUACAAUCUUUUUGAGAGGAAAAGGCUUUGGGGUCACCUAACUGUGGCCUUCCAGUGCCUGAAAGGAGCCUGCAAGAGUGGUGGAGAGGCACUCUUACAAGGGCACGUAGUGACAGGACAAGAGGGAAGGCUCUACACUGGAAAAGAGUAGCUUUGUAUUAGAUUUAGGGGGAAAUUCUUUGCUGUGUGAGUGGUGAGGCACUGGCACAGACUGCCCCAUCCCUGGAAGUGUUUAAAGCCAGGCUGGAUGGAGUUCUGAGCAACCUGGUCUACUGGAAGGAGUCCCUGCCCAUGGCAAGGGAGAUGGAACUGGAUGAUCUUCAAGGUCCCUUCCAACACCAUUCUAUGAUUCUAUCAUAUACAAUAUAAAAACCAAUCACACUCAACUCAAACACUGGCCUACAUUUUCCUGGUAACACAGUCUAGCACACUGUGCAACAAAGAAGCUAAUAAAUAAAUAUAUCAGUUACAAAUAAAUACAUUGAUGCCAGUCAUGAACUGGAGCAUGAUUUUGGCCCUGGAUCUGUGAUUGCUAUAUUGCUUUAAUUAUAAAAUCACAGAAUUUUUUAAUUAUAAUUUUUUAUUAUAAAAUCACAGAAAACUGCGAAUUACCCCUUAGCUUGAUCCUGCAUUUCAUUUGGUAUAUGUUCACUCUAAACAUGUAACCAGACCUCAAAAAGCAAUACUGCCAUUCAGCAUUGUCUAACAGUGAAUGAGGAUUUAAAGAGAAACAGGAAAUCUUCCCUAAGGGGCAAUGUAUAUUAGCUAACACGGUUCUGCAACAGAGCUGGCUUGAUUCUGAUUGAAGUGUCACACAGGCAAGGGAGCUCACCACUGUCUGCAGAGUGCACUCCUAGAUUCUAGAGAGUUCCCUAUGGAAUAUACCAUGAGCCAAGACAACAUCUCGCCAUCAGAAGUAAAACUUCCCUGUCAUCUCCUCCCUGCUCUGCACUACUGCUGCUCCCCCUGAGCCAGCUCUCAUUUCACACAAAGGCAAGCUGACUCAGCUCAGCAAAAUUAGGAAAAAUCACCUCUGGCAGAAAAAGGUAAACGUGAAAAAGGGAAGCCAGGGGAGUGACUUCAUUACUCACCCUGUGGCCAGAGCUCAUCACUAGAAGUGAGAGAGUGAAGCAGGGAAGGAGGGACAGUCAGACCUCCUCCUCCUUUGGGUGUCAGCAAGAAGCUGAGGCAGCCCAGCACUGCUGCCAUACCACAUCUGGGAGCAGCAGCACGUGCUGCAGCACUGGAGAUCAUUCCUCAGACCUUAAGCAGAUGAUUCCCAUUAAAAUGUUAAUUACUUAUAUCUGUCUCCUAGCUAUCAAAUUAUAUUCCUCUAUAAAGCAUUUAUUUUUUCCAAGUGGAGACUCUUAGUUUAGGGAAUGAAAUGAGAAACAAAAAAAGAAUCAGUACUGCUCCAGGCUGGUAUGCUGCACAGAUUGUGUUACAGUGCUUCAACUUAAGAUUUUGGUCUUAAAUAGAGAGAAAAAUUGUAUUAGCUUAUGUUUCAGCAAGGUAUUUUUAUUAUAUUAAAUUCUUGACUUCAGAGAGAAGCACAUAUGAUAUCACUACUGGCUACAGACACUAAGUUAUGCACUACAGUUCAGAAGGCAUUCUAGCCCACCAAAGCUUAGUUCCUAAACAGCAAGUAACAGCUGCAUUUGAAAUAAAACCAUUCCUUAUUAAGACAAGAAUCCAAGUUUCAGAAUCAUAAAGACAUCUAACAUGACUGUUAAAUAUACAUUUUAAUAUGUACACUUUAAUCUAAACAGUUAAAAAAAAAAUCUAAUUAAUAUGAUCUAUCAAAGGAAUUUUUCUAUCCCUAAACAGAUCUUUCAGAAAAGCUGCUUAUAAGUAUCCUGGGUACCAAGAUACUAUAAAAGCACUUACUCUCAACAUACUCUUUUGUUGUCUUAGAGAAAAGUGUUACAAAAUACCAUUUGGUUACAAAAAGAUAAAAUGCACAAACUUUGAGAAAGAUUUCCUAGACAGAGGAUAGCAAGGAGCAGUAGGGGCCAGUUUAAUGAGAAAGCUGCAGAAGUCUCACUAGCUGAUCUCAGGACAAGAUUUAUCUCAUACACAGGAAAAGCAAAUCACUGGAUAAACUGACUUUAUCUGAUGGUUAUGGACAUCAGUGAUUAAGCUUCCAGUCUACUCCACCUCUAUUAAAACCAUGUAAAAGAAAUUAAACUUAACAACAGCUGUCACAAUUCCUGUUUCACUCAACUUCACUAUUUGAUUGCCAGAAAAAAGGAUCUACUCCAGCAAUGUUCAGGGAAACACUCUGUGGUUCAUUUAGUGGUAUAAAUGCACUGUCUAUGUUUCCUUGCCUGCAAAGCUGGACGGGUUCUUGUUUGUGAUUUCUCGUGUAACAUGAUUUUACAGCCAUGUACCCACCCCCACAUUCUCUUUACUGCAGUUCUGUAAUGGAAAUAAACAACAUAAUGGUAACUCUUUAUAGUUCAUGUUGCCGUUACUUGAGAUAAAAAACAAACAAGACACUAGCAGUUUUAUAAUUUAUUAACACAUCGUUCCAAAUUUGGGACAAGAAACUCCACAGCAACAUGUUCACUCUAGAAAACCAAACACUGCACAACUAGAUGGAAAAGGCAUUUCAUAUCAGGUCCAUGGAUCACCCUCCUCUCAGGCCCACUUGAUGGAAGCAGUGUGCUCUAAGUGUGAUAAUAUAAUGGAGACUAGUGGAGAUCCUGCAGGGAAAUAAAAAACUGUGGGUCCUUCCCCACCGGAAAUGUCACUUUCAACAGUAUCAGCCAAAAACGCUGCACUAUUAGCAUAAGACUGGAGUAAUUUUCUGUCAUCAGGCCCUGUUCAUAUGUAAAACAGCAACACUCCUGUUUCCCAGGGGAAGGAGGUCUCCCACCCCCCACACGGCUCCUCCAGCUGCAAGCAACACAGGUACUAACUUAUGCAAACACAGGAAAACUCACUCUGCUGGUUUCUGGCUUUGGUGAGCUGCUGAUUCUCCCUCCACCCUCUGCCCUGGCCUCUGGGUGACUUUGCUCCUCUUCUCAGUGCUGAUGACUUUCACACUUACCUUUCUUUCCCUCCCCAUCCACGGCUGCAUUUCUUCCUGCAGCUUCUUGAAUUUAGGCAUGAGAAAAGCAGAACUUCAGCUUUUCCUCCUGAAGUCUCAUACCUUUCUGCUUUCCCAUUUAAUACUGAUCACUCUGUCUUUUCAUUCCAAUGUUGAGGUUUUUUGCAACUUUUUUUUAACAUCUAAUCUGAUUGGCUGUAGCCAAGUUUCUAAAUGCAUUUCACUACAGAAUUCAUUUCAGUCUGUGGUUCAGUAUUGCCUGGAGUGCUACAAACUGAAUCUUCAAAAGACUUACUCGCUCAUUAGCAUACACCUUCCUCUUCUGAGCAGUGCCUUCAGGUGCAGUCACCCUCUUUUCAAGAGCAUAUUCCUCAUCUUUACCUCUGAGGCACAUUCCUCCUGCUCAUCUCGGCCUGCCUAUCUUCAAUCUGCGGGGAAAGCAAGACACCACAGUUCACUCAUCGACACUGAUGUCCCCUUUGCUGCUGCCCUGCUCUGUGCAGAUGGUGCCCGUUUCCCUUAUUCUUUGUUUUAACAAGCACUCAGCAAAAAAAACAGGAAUUUACUGUCUGCAAACCAGGUGGCUUAGGCUGCUCUAAAUAAAAACAAACUGCUUUAGCCAGUCCUAGCUAAAGAAGGUCUCUAGAACCUCUAUGAAGUU